rnacentral:sRNA from 1 species
GAUUCCUGGAGGGAGAGGGGAACGGACAGCAAACAAUAGACACGAUACGAUCGUGAGGUAUAUAGUUAAUGUUGGUGAUGAGUGCUUCUCAAAGGAAACAACUAAAACCAGACAAGGGAAGUCAGGGAGAAUGGUUUGUAGUAUUGAUGACAAUGGUUAAGGAAGGCCUGAGUUCUGCAAAGACCUCAAGGAUAUGAGGGACUAGAGCGCCCUCUGCUGUGGAAGAGCCUACGUAAAGAUCCUGAGGUGGGAGGGGUCAGGGAGCCAACUCAUUUUACGGUAAGUGGAGGUGGGAUCCAGGGGAGGAUUCUGAGCAGAGGAGGGACGUGGCCCAGUUUGGGCUUUGAAAGGAUCCUGCUUGUCUGUGUGCCAGCAUCCUGGUGGUGGUUGGGGGACUCUGCAUCAAUCCUGGGUGCUAUUACCUGAAAAAUAGUAGGUGUUAGAUGAAAGAACAGAUGUCUGGCCCAUUGUCUCCAGUCUGUUCCUGUCCACAGCUUCCCUUUACACUGAGCCCCUGCCACAUGCAUCAUCAUCCUGGCCAUGUGGCAUUGUCACAGACCGUCUCUCCUGCUAGCCUCCUAACUCAGGGCCUGUGUCUUGCCCAGCAUUAAAUAAAUCAGUCUCAGGCAGACAGCCCUUUAUAUAGAUGUUUGGGCCAGGUGCAGUGGCUCACGCCUGUAAUCCCAGCUCUUUGUGGGGCCAAGGUCUUUGAGCUCAGGAGUUCAAGACCAGCCUGGGCAGCAUGACAAAACCCUGUCUCUACCAAAAAUACAAAAAUUAGCCACGCAUGGUGGCACACACCUGUGGUCCCAGCUACUCGGGAGGCUGAGGUGGGAGGAUCGCUGGAGCCUGGGAAGUUGAGGCUGCAGUGAGCCGUGAUCAUGCCACUGCAUUCCAGCCUGUGUGAUGGAAAGAGACCCUGUCUCAAAAAAAAUAAA